AUUGAACGCUGGCGGCAGGCCUAACACAUGCAAGUCGAACGAGUGGCGGACGGGUGAGUAAUGUCUGGGAAACUGCCUGAUGGAGGGGGAUAACUACUGGAAACGGUAGCUAAUACCGCAUACCAUCAGAUGUGCCCAGCUGGGAUUAGCUAGUUGGUGGGGUAACGGCUCACCAAGGCGCCGAUCCCUAGAUGGUCUGAGAGGAUGACAGGCAACACUGGAACUGAGACACGGUCCAUACUCCUACGGGAGGAAGCAGUGGGGAAUAUUGCACAAUGGGCGAAAGCCGGAUGCAGCAAGGCCGCGUGUAUGAAGAAGGUCUUCGGGUUGUAAAGUACUUUCAGCGGGGAGGCGUUACCCGCAGAAGAAGCACCGGCUAACUCCGUGCCAGCAGCCGCGGUAAUUC
rnacentral:rRNA from 1 species